GCAGAGAUAAAUAAGAGCCUUCAACCCCGGUUUCAGCACUGAUUCCACUGGAAGACACAAGAGGCUAUGCAUUUUGCAAAUUUACAUUAGCUGCACAGUUUCAAAAAAUGUCCUCCUGAGGCAAGCUACAAAAAGUUCUCAAGAUAGAGAUUUCCUGCCAAGGAAAGAGAUAUUCACCCAUUGUAAACCAUUAAAUGAAUUCUCUACUACGAGUGAGCACCUUGAGAGCUGGACAAGACAAGAACAAACAGUUUGAGUGACAUGCACCUGCCCCACAGAAAGACGGAGUGUCAAGUACGUGAAUGAGGAUGCGGAAGACAUCUGGAUCUUUUGAUAGAUAUUUUGCAUUAGGGAGAUCAAGAGUUGGGACUAUCUCUUAUUUUCAAUGGACUUUUCCUAAGGUUAAAGGAAACAUGUUCAAAUCAUGAUCAGCCUAAAUAAUUCUAUGCAUUAUUCUUCUAAGUCUUAUAAUUUUUUUAUAAAUAGUGUCCAUUUCUGUCUUGUUUUAUGUGAUUAUUAAAGACAUUCUUCCCUUAAUUUGUAGCCUUAUAAGUUAAAAGUUCAUAUUGAAUCAUUUGAGAAUAGAUAACUAUACUCAAAGUUGCUAAAUCAUAGACUAUUUGAUAAGACUACCUAACAGCCUUUAGGGUAUUUUGCUGCUGUUAAUACUGCUGAUAAUGAUGAAAAAUAAUGAUUAAAAUUUAUUGAACAUUUUUCUAUGCUGAAAUUUUGUGAGAUAUUUUUGUAGUUUCAACAACUCUUAUUGUAUGCACUUUGCCCCAUUCCAUAUUUACUUCCAGAGGAUAGGCUAAAAUUAAAAACAAAGGGAUGUAUUGAGACUAGUUUUGACAUGAUGAGAGUUUUUUUUUUUUGAGAUGGAGUCUCACUCUGUCACCUAGGCUGGAGUGCGGUGGUGUGAUCUUGGCUCACUGCAACCUCCGCCUGACAGAUUCAAACAAUUCUCCUGCCUCAGCCUCCCGAGUAUGUGGGACUACAGGCGUGCACCACCAUGCCCGGCUAAUUUUUUGUAUUUUUAGUAGAGAUUGGGUUUCACCAUGCUGGUCAGGCUGGUCUCAAACUCCUGACCUCAUGAUCUCCCCUCCUCAGCCUCCCAAAGUGCUGGGAUUACAGGCAUGAGCCACUGAGCCCAGCCUACAUGAUGAGAGAUUUUAUCUCUUAGAAUUUGUAUUUUUCCUGGCCACCCUGGGAGCUCAGGCCUUACAUGUUGCCAGAAUCUCUAUGUUAAAUGAGAUUUAAGCCUAUCUCUCAAUUAAAAGUUGGCUUUGUCUGGAAGGUCCAAGGAGAAAGGGCUAAUCAUAAAUUUUUUAAUUUAAGCCUUAGGUCAGAUGCAUUGUAUUAAUGUUUUGGGCUGCACAUGAUUUAGCUACAUUUAGAAAAUGAAGAGUUCUUUAUAGAUUGUAGAAACCAUGCUAGGUUUUGUAUUAGGCUGUUCUUGUAUUGCUAUAAAGAAAUACCUGAGACUGGGUAAUUUCAAAAGAGAAGACAUUUAAUUGACUUAUGAUUCUGUGGGCUUUACAGGAAGACUAGUGCCUGCAUUUGCUCAGCUUCUGCAGAAGACUCAAGAAGCUUACAAUUAUGGCAGAAGGUGAAGGUCGAACAGCCAUAUCACAUGGACAGAGAAGGAGUAACAGGAGACAGAGGUGUGCCACACACUUGUAAACAGCUAGAUCUUGCAAGCACUAUCACAAGGACAGCACCAAGCACUCAUGAGAAAUCCACCCCCACAUGAUCCAAUCACCUCCCAGCAGUUUCCACCUCCAAUACUGGGAAUGACCACUCAACAUAGGAUUUGGGCAAAUAUACAAAUUGCAUCAAUAUUUCUCACUGUACAGCAAUCCUUUUGCCUUGGUUUUCUAUAUCAAACCCAUCAACAUUUAAUGAUUUAUGAAUAAAGCACUGAUAGCUACUGGGAACAUCUAGAACUCAUGUGCUCUAUCUCUAUUCCAUGGAAUAUCACCCUCUGCUAUACUGGCUUAAAUAAAUAUUUCACAUUAGCAGACAUAAAUUCAGUUUGUCAGAUCAUGUUCAGCCCAGACAUCAUUUCCCUUUCUUUUAUUUCCUAAAUCGUUAAGGUCUAAAGUCAAAGCUGUUAUAUGUUCCCAAAGUAGUAUAAAAUAUGUAUGAAGCAUUUAAGACAUUCCAAACGUUUCUCUUUAUGGUUUGGGACCAAUGUAUCCAUUAAUUUGCUCUUUGGUCUGAGCUUUUGCCAUAAAAGUCUUAGGCCAGGUAAACAUCAAUGUUUUCCAUUUUUCUUCAAUUUAUUUAUUUUUAUUAUUUUUUUUUUUAGCAAACAGUGACUGCUGGAAGCCCCUAGAAAUGAAUGCCAACCUAGUUUACAAAAGACAGUGAUGAUGUCAGUCAAUAUGCAGAAUUGUUCAACUUCCUUUAUCUUUGCAGAGCCACCUAGUGUAACUGAAAUGGUUAACCUGAAUAGGCCUUUAAUUGGAUUGAGCUAUUGUGGAUCCUAGAGCUAGCAAUGCAGACUGAAAAUAGUGUGUUCUUUGUCUUCACCAAGAUAAAGUGUGCUUCAAAGGCAAAAAUGAAGUUGCUUGAAGUCAGUUAUUAGCUCAGCCAGAUUCAUUUUCAAUAGCAUGUCUCAGUGUGUUGCUUGUCUUCUCAAAGGUGGUCCUUUCUGGCCAUUAAGAAAAAGCAGUGAAGCAACCCUCCUGUCUUCCACACAGGUUAAUUGUUAAAUGUAACCAAGGAGACUGUAAAAGGCUUCUAAAUGGGAGAAAAAAACUCAGCCUGAAUGCCUCGGAUUAAUCCUUGAUGUCCCAGUUUUCUCACCUAUAAAUUGGAGAACCUAAUUUCUGUUGGAACCACUGCAUUGUGGUUGCUGUGAGAAUUAAAUGGUAUAAUGUCUGUGAGAGUGCUUUGCAAAGUGGAACUCCCUCUAUAAAUGUAUGGAUUAUUAUACUGUUUACCCUCCAUAAAUGUAUGGAUUAUUAUACUGUUCACUGUCAUUUUUUAAAACAAAUCUUCCAAAUAUCUUCACACCUCGAAGAAAGAUUUGAAAGAGUUCCC
rnacentral:lncRNA from 1 species